CCUACGGGAGGCAGCAGUAGGGAAUCUUUCACAAUGGGCGAAAGCCUGAUGCAGCAACGCCGCGUGCAGGAUGAAGGCCUUCGGGUUGUAAACUGCUUUUAUAAGCGAGAAAUAUGAUGGUAACUUAUGAAUAAGGAUCGGCUAACUACGUGCCAGCAGCCGCGGACAUACGUAGGAUCCGAGCAUUAUCCGGAGUGACUGGGUGUAAAGAGUUGCGUAGGUGGCAUAGUAAGUAGCUAGUGAAAUCUGGUGGCUCAACCAUUCAGACUAUUAGCUAAACUGCUAAGCUCGAGACCGUUAGAGGUAACUGGAAUUUCUAGUGUAGCAGUGAAAUGCAUAGAUAUUAGAAGGAACACCGAUAGCGUAGGCAGGUUACUGGGACGGUUCUGACACUAAGGCACGAAAGCGUAGGGAGCAAACGGGAUUAGAUACCCCUGUAGUC
rnacentral:rRNA from 1 species